GAAUCGCUAGUAAUCGUGGAUCAGAAUGUCACGGUGAAUACGUUCCCGGGCCUUGUCACACCGCCCGUCACACCAUGGGAGUGGACUGCACCAGAAGUGGUUAGCCUAACGCAAGAGGGCGAUCACCACGGUGUGGUUCAUGACUGGGGUGAAGUCGUAACAAGGUAGCCGUAGGGGAACCUGCGGCUGGAUCACCUCCUU
rnacentral:rRNA from 1 species